UACGUAGGGUCCGAGCGUUGUCCGGAAUUAUUGGGCGUAAAGAGCUCGUAGGCGGCCUGUUGCGUCCGCUGUGAAAGCCCGGGGCUUAACCCCGGGUCGGCAGUGGAUACGGGCAGGCUAGAGGUAGGUAGGGGAGAAUGGAAUUCCCGGUGUAGCGGUGAAAUGCGCAGAUAUCGGGAGGAACACCGGUGGCGAAGGCGGUUCUCUGGGCCUUACCUGACGCUGAGGAGCGAAAGCGUGGGGAGCGAACAGG
rnacentral:rRNA from 1 species